rnacentral:lncRNA from 1 species
AGGAAAGUCCAAGAGUUCGUGAAGAUGUUUAACUACCGGAAGGUCCGCUCGCCGUUGGUGGAGUGCAGACAGGCACAGCGCAUGGGAAAACCGGCAGGAUCUACCGAAGCUGAUCAUCCUACCUGUACCCUGGGACCCGUUUCUCUCCAGCAGAAUGUGCACAUCAGCCCUGUUUAUAAUGGCUUCAAAACUGCCUCCAUCUACGGCAGGCUGGAUAAUACAUUGUGUGUGUUCACAACACAGAAACCACCACAGACAGCAAGGAGAAUGGAUGAUCCACAGCUCCUCACAACAACAUGAAUGAAUCGCACAAGAUGAGAAAACCAAGGCUCUGGACGGAGACUUGCCCAAGGUUACCAACAGGAAGUUGCAGAGCAGAAACCUGACCACAGGGCUCCUGAUUCCAGAAUUAGCAAUCAGGUUACCAUCAGUCACCCCCUCCAGAGGGAGGGAUUUCUGUUGCCCCCAAGUGUAAAAUGAGUGUUCUGACGUUUGACACAUGGAUAGAUUUAUGUAACCACCACCGCCACCGUCAGGACCCAGAACAGCUCUGCCACCCCAAAAAUCUCUCUUGCGUUCUUUAUAGUUACACAAUCCCCCCAUCCCUAAACCUGGCGAUCCCUGAUCUGUCCUCCACCACUGUGUUUUUGAUAGGUAUGGUAUUAAAUCCACAGAUCAAUGUGGGAGGGUUUACGUCUAUACCACAUGGAGUUGCCCAGUCAUGAAGACACCACGUCUCUCCACUCAUUCAGUCAGAGUUCUUCGGUUUUAUCAGCACUCUGUAGUCUUCAGCCUGUAGAUCUUGGAUAUGUUUUCUUAGAUUUAUACCUACGGGUUCCAUCGUGUAAUGGUUAGCAUUCUGGACUCUGAAUCCAGAUUUAUACCUAAGAAUUUUGCUUUUUG